rnacentral:lncRNA from 1 species
GGGUAUUAGUACCCUUCACAUCCAUGGUAUUCCAUGGGAACCAUUUGGGUUGUUUAAGAUACGUGGGGAUUUAUCCUUUAUUGUUUUAUUUUUCAAAAGAAUGUGUGAAAUAAGGGUUUUUUAUUAUUAUAAUGCUCGCCAAGGAUUGAGACCCUUGUACAUACGUAUCACUCUUUGGGGAUGAGGAAUCAGAGCUCCUCAGUACAGAGUAAUAAAUGUUUGUGUGUUGGUUGAUUUU